AGAGUUUGAUCCUGGCUCAGAUUGAACGCUGGCGGCAUGCCUUACACAUGCAAGUCGAACGGCAGCACGGGUGCUUGCACCUGGUGGCGAGUGGCGAACGGGUGAGUAAUAUAUCGGAACGUACCUUAUCGUGGGGGAUAACGCAGCGAAAGCUGCGCUAGUACCGCAUACGCCCUGAGGGGGAAAGCGGGGGACCGUAAGGCCUCGCGCGAUUAGAGCGGCCGAUAUCUGAUUAGCUUGUUGGUGGGGUAAAAGCCCACCAAGGCGACGAUCAGUAGCUGGUCUGAGAGGACGAUCAGCCACACUGGGACUGAGACACGGCCCAGACUCCUACGGGAGGCAGCAGUGGGGAAUUUUGGACAAUGGGGGCAACCCUGAUCCAGCAAUGCCGCGUGAGUGAAGAAGGCCUUCGGGUUGUAAAGCUCUUUUGUCAGGGAAGAAACAGCAGCUCUAACACAGUCUGCGAAUGACGGUACCUGAAGAAUAAGCACCGGCUAACUACGUGCCAGCAGCCGCGGUAAUACGUAGGGUGCAAGCGUUAAUCGGAAUUACUGGNGCGUAAGCGUG
rnacentral:rRNA from 1 species